GACGAACGCUGGCGGCGUGCUUAACACAUGCAAGUCGAACGGAAAGGCCCUGCUUUUGUGGGGUGCUCGAGUGACGAACGGGUGAGUAACACGUGAGUAACCUGCCCUUGACUUUGGGAUAACUUCAGGAAACUGGGGCUAAUACCGGAUAGGAGCUCCUGCUGCAUGGUGGGGGUUGGAAAGUUUCGGCGGUUGGGGAUGGACUCGCGGCUUAUCAGCUUGUUGGUGGGGUAGUGGCUUACCAAGGCUUUGACGGGUAGCCGGCCUGAGAGGGUGACCGGCCACAUUGGGACUGAGAUACGGCCCAGACUCCUACGGGAGGCAGCAGUGGGGAAUAUUGCACAAUGGGCGGAAGCCUGAUGCAGCAACGCCGCGUGCGGAAUGACGGCCUUCGGGUUGUAAACCGCUUUCGCCUGUGACGAAGCGUGAGUGACGGUAAUGGGUAAAGAAGCACCGGCUAACUACGUG
rnacentral:rRNA from 1 species